UAGAAUUUCAUUGGCUAUCAAAGAGAGAGAUCAAAUAACUAGCAACAAUCAAAUAGUUAGUCUAGCACGAUCUUCCAGAAACACCUCUCUCACGACUCACAUAACUCUUCACUAUAAUGUUUAUUUUUUAUUAUUUUUAUGCCUUAUAUAGCUAGCUAUUUGCAAAUUGUUAUUAUAGACCCCUAAACAAAUGACUUAAAAUACAGAAUAAAUAUGGUAUCACAUUUAUACUUCAUGCAUAGUCGUUUUCUUGUCUUAUAAAUAAAUAGGUAGCUUCUUCAUCGAGCAUAUAUACAUUUGGCUGAGAGAGAAAAUAUAGGGAAAUGAGAUGGACAAGGAGAAUGUAAUAGGAGAUGGCUGGCAAGCGGCAAGCAGGUUAAGAAGUUUUGGGGAUGGGAUGCAAUGGGAAUUUUAGUUGAAGAUCCAAUAAGAGAGAUUGCGAAUCAGAACUCCCCAAUGAGAAGGAACUGAGCGCGUAGGUCUCACAGCUGUUGCGUCGAGGAAUCCUGAGUACUGAGUACAGGUACGUCUUCCAUUUGCGAAGGUGAGUGAGCUUCCUCUUCACGAACUCCAACGCGUCCUCCUUGUGGAGAAGGUCGGGGUUGAGCAAGACAACAUGCCCACCCUUCAGUCCCAUAUGUCAUGGCGCCCGCGAGCGAGGUGUUCUCACAACUGAGGAUGCUUGAUGGUUGACCUGGCCAAUCUCCGUGACACUUAGGCCAAUCUCGGUAAUUUUGGACGAAGUGAGGAAAAUUCACUGUCUCUGAAGUUAGCAGGUGGGUGUCACUUAGGUCCCUACACUUCUAAAAUGACACUUAUGAGUGCUGGGCUUCAUAGAGAUAACCAAGUGUAAAAAAUAUUGUUAGCUUGAACUAUUGCUUUUUUUCACUAAAAAUGAACCGCCAGCCCAGACAGCCCCUAGCUCGGCCAAAAAGCCAUGCCACAUGCAUACCCAUAGCAAUUUUGAAUUAGAAGAAAACAAAAAAAAAUGUGAAGGUCGAAAAUAAUUGGAGCAAGAUCGAAUGCCCCAAACCGCCACAAAACUAAAUAAUGACAGUCCGUCGUCUCAUAAGAACCUUCGUGAACAAACAUCAUGAAAAUUCAAUUUAUGUAGUCAACUGUUACAUUUUUUUUCUUGUUUGGCAAAGCUUUGGCUCCUCUGUUCCUAGUAUUGUGUUGCAUUGUACAAUGGCUCUAGCUUUGCUCAAUUGAAUUGGUCGAUAGACAGAGCCAUUGAAGUCAAAGGUUUUUGAACCCCACCAGCUCUGCUACGGUGUCGAAGCUCUACUGCUCUAGGCGUAGUCCAGCCAAAUAACGCCUUCAUGUGGGUUUGUUUAUUACUCUCAUGAAAAUUCUCUGCCCACAUGAAAUCUUAGUUUUAUGACAACGAGGGGUCCUGCUUGUCAUCAAAGGCAUGCAUUUUAGCCAUUAUCAUAGAAUACUGACAAGGAUCCUAGCAGUGAAGUGAUCAUAAGCUUUUCAACAACACUGAAGAAAUUUACUCAAAAACUUAAACUUGGUACUACUUCAUUAGUUAUGGUUGAUGCAGUGAAGUUAUGGCCAUCGCACACCUCUCUUGCUUGCUCUCAUCUUCACAAAUCUUUGUACCGUAUGACCAUGUGCUUUGCAUUGUUUAAUAUACUAGCAAAACAUGCCCGUGCGUUGCAACGGGGUAUAGAAUUUAUUAUUUGAUAAUUGUAUACUUUUUGUAAAAUUUAAAUGAGUUUAGUCCAACCUUGAAUCAAAAAAAUAUAACCCCACCAAAACAAACAAAACUACCAAACUAAUAUCGGAAAUCACCUUGAGAAGAAAUAGAAAAAAAAUCAUGUCCCAUAAAAAAAUGAGAAAUCUUCAUGUACAGUGGAGGAAAAAGAGUAAAAAAUGAUAUAAAAAUAUGUAUAGAAAUUAAAAGAGGAAGAAUAUUACAUAAAGAAAGCAUAAAAGCAUCACAUGAGGGAACAAUUCUAUCAAACAACACGUUAGAUCAGUCCACUUUUAUUGUGGUUCGGUGCAAUCCAAAGCAAAACCAGCGGCGCAGUUAGUGACAAAAGCCCACAGCCACAGCCGCCACAUAAUAAUACAAUUAAUAGGUAACAGUUCUCAACAUCCUUUCAUCACGGCAUCUGUUUGAGACAUACAUGAACAAAGCACAUGUAAUUCCGUAUGAUUAAGAGGAAGUACCUUGUGGUCAGCAUUGAUGCAUCACGAGAGAAGGAACAGCCAAUGAGAGGGCGAUCAUCUCCAAUCUCGCUACACUCCAGGACAAACUCCCCAGCCUGCUUCAUGACGAGUUCGGCC
rnacentral:lncRNA from 1 species